AUGCCAAUCCAGACCCAGCUCCCCGCUGCAGGGUGUAGUGUGCACGGCCGUGCUCUGCACUCUCCUCUUGUCGCCAGACAGCAGGUUCAGCUAGCACAACAACAUGGAUGGAUAUGCUACAGACGGCCCCACAGCUGCUGUCUAUCCAGAAUGAUAGCACUGGGUAUGUUAUGUAUUUUGAGGGACUACACCAAUGACGCAUGUUAUAUGCAGUGUACGUUUAACAAGCGUUUUACAAUAUCCCUAUUUUCUGGGGGAAAUAGUGUAUAGUGCAUUAUUUAAUGACGUAAUGCAAUGUAGGCAUGAAGCUACAGCUAUUGUACAUUCUAAUGUUGAAAAAUUCUAAGUUUGUAGGAUUGUCUUUUCCCUAUAUGUUACAAUAAAUGUAUAGCAAGUUAUGUAUUUUCCCCACUGCAGUUCAGUCUUACUUUUGAGAGCUGAUUUGUUUCACGAUUCAUGCUGUUAAAUUAAUAAUAUGUUAACCAUUUGACACCUUAAAGACUUUGACAAUGAUAUAUUACAGCUUUGAAUAUUAAUUUGGGGUCCUUAGAAAGUGUUUCACUCCUUUGUCUUUUGGGAUUGCAUAGGUGUUAACAUAUAUGGCUAAUUGACAAGCUGAACCAAUUAAGACUCGGCAGAAAUGAAUAGUAGGCUAAUACAUUAUUCAAAUGACUGCUAUACCUGCAGCGCUGCAUAUGUGAUGUUUAAGUGUGCAGGGAGGCACACCAAUUAUCUGCAUCGAAAUACUUUUUUCUUUACCUACUCACAGUCUAAAGAUAUUAUGUAUCUUUACUAACUUAAAAGUUCUAGCUGCUAUCAUUAAGGGAACUGUUAUCAUAAUUCCUUACUGCCAGGAGGACCUAGUCUUAGUGAGUGUUAAAGCUUCAAUAAAUAUUUUUUCAAUAUGCAAGGAUUGCCUAUUGUUUUUAACUGCUCUCUUUUUGACAUCUUUGUCUUAUUCCCUUUUCACACUAUGGAGCCAACCAGAAUAGUACUGUGCUGGCUCGGGUAUUUUCUUUUCUGGUUCCAGCAACUAUGCUGGAUGAGUAACUAGGCCAGCUCAGUACAGCUCCGCUUGGCCUGCCUCAGCUUGGCUUAGUAAUGUGAAAAGGGCAUUACAGUCCUGUCUGUCUCCAAGCCUGACCCUGUUUGCCCCCAAACCCACCAAUCCCAGCCCAGCUCCUCCCUC
rnacentral:lncRNA from 8 species